AAUCUUCCGCAAUGGGCGAAAGCCUGACGGAGCAACGCCGCGUGAGUGAUGAAGGUCUUAGGAUCGUAAAACUCUGUUGUUAGGGAAGAACAAAUUUGUUAGUAACUGAACAAGUCUGGACGGUACCUAACCAGAAAGCAAAGACUAACUACGUGCCAGCAGCCGCGGUAAUACGUAGGUGGCAAGAGUUACCCGGAAUUAUUGGGCGUAAAUCGCACGUAGGCGGUUUCUUAAGUCUGAUGUGAAAGUCCACGGCUCAACCGUGGAAGGUCAUUGGAAACUGGGGAACUUGAGUGCAGAAGAGGAGAGUGGAAUUCCAUGUGUAGCGGUGAAAUGCGCAGAGAUAUGGAGGAACACCAGUGGCGAAGGCGGCUCUCUGGUCUGUAACUGACGCUGAUGUGCGAAAGCGUGGGGAUCAAACA
rnacentral:rRNA from 1 species